UACGGAGGGAGCUAGCGUUGUUCGGAAUUACUGGGCGUAAAGCGCGCGUAGGCGGCUUUGUAAGUUAAGAGGUGAAAGCCCGGGGCUCAACCCCGGAACUGCCUUUAAGACUGCAUCGCUUGAUCCAGGAGAGGUGAUGUGGAAUCCGAGUGUAGAGGUGAAAUUCGUAGAUAUUCGGAAGAACACCAGUGGCGAAGGCGGCU
rnacentral:rRNA from 1 species